rnacentral:misc_RNA from 1 species
UUCACGGCACAUGUGCAAGCAGCGAGCUUUUUUUACGGAGUCGCGAUCCGUGAAGAAAAACGACGAAGAAGCGCGCCCAAGCUGUAGAUCGUGUGCGGCGCUUAUCAGUCAGCUGGCGAAGAAAGGAGCGAAGAGGUUCAAAGGGAUCUCCGGCGUCCAACAAUGCUGUUGACAGCGUCGCGAGCCCUCCUGCAGCAAGCGGGAAAGAUGCCCACCGCGCUUCACUGGAUGCGCCGCAUCGCCGCGCGUGUGCCGAAAUCUGGGCUCUCGGGGUCCCAGCUGCAGGCGCUUCUGGAUGAUGAGUUUCCGUCGUUUUCGCCUUCCUCGGUCGGUGCCGUCACGCUGAAGGAGGCAGUGCUGAGAUUCCCUGAGCUGCUUAGUGUGGAGGAUGGAAGCCAGCUGCAUGCCAAAUGGCAUGUGCGGCCCACUCACGUGGACAAGACUCAGGAGCAACGCGCGUCGUCCUCCUCAAAGCCCACUGAAACGUAUACAUUGUCCAUGAUGAAGCUUCAGCAGUUCUGCACGAAGCGAGCGCGCAUGCAUCACAACACGUACAUGCCACUCGAGUACGUGCUCAGCAAGGCCGAUAUCAAUGAUGUGGACAUUGUCGGAGAAGUACUGCACAACCCGGACGCUGCGCUCGAUGUGCAGGCGGGGGUGCGCAUUAAGCCGAAGCGCACGCCGCGUGCAGUUGUAGCCUUUGUCGACGGAGAUGCGCUUCCCGCCGUUGCCGUCGAUGAAAUGUGCAAUGAGCUGAACGUGUUGAAGGAGUCGAGCAUCGUGACCAUUGUGCGGCAGCCGGGCAGCCAUGCGCUUUCGGCUGUCGACAUUGUGUGCCCUGACGUCAUUCCGACUUAUCUGAGCAUUGAGAAGCACGCGCACGAGCUGCGGCUGCGGAGGCCGAAUGUGCGCCACGACGUCGUGUACAUGUGUGCUGCCUCACAGUUCAACAUCUACGCAGACCGCGUGGCUCCUCUAAACGACUUCCCUGAUGCGGACGUGUACGUAUGCUGCCCGAGCAUGAUAGCGCUGGUUAAGCCAAAGAAGGUGAUUCCGUUCGAGUGAGGCUCCGCGUCGUGUGGCGUCGAUCAAUGUGGUUACCGGUGCCCUCCUGCAAGCGAGUGUGCGUUGGUGUUUUUGAGCAAGCGCCGUUGGCAAGCAUUAACGGAUACGUUUCACCUCUGCUGUCUUCGUAUCAGGCGAGGGAGGAGCAGCGUUUCUUGAGGCACAGAGACAAUCCGUUGCGGCGCGGGCUGCCGCACACGACCGUCUUCGCAUUUUCCGUUAUUUGGUGUCUCCCGCCACGCUUCGCCACAGAGAGGAAGAAAAAUGAAGAUCAAAAGGUGGCGUGGUGAUGUGCUUUGUGCGCAGUACUGCUGCUGCCGCGGCAUUACCACAGUCGCCAUCCUGGCUAGCGGUGAGGGUGGAUGGAAAAGACGUCUGUAUGUCUCACACUCGAACUCAUCUUUUUUUUUAAUGGUGGUGGUGUUGACAAUGACGGCUUCUCCCGCACUCACAGACGCGCACACACGCGCGCAAGGAUCAAUGGGCGUGGGGGCGGCCCUUUGUGGUUCAUGCCCCCGCCACCUUCAUUGCCGAGCUCUGCCAUCUCUCCCCUUUUUUCUCUGGCUGUGUAUAUCCCGUGUGGCUUGCACGUGUGCGGCGAGCAACGCAG